GGGAAUCUGAGUUCAGGAGGCCAGGGAACGCCAGAAGGAAAGGGAUUUUUUGAUGCUUGGGGCUCUGAGACUGUCAGUUUAAAAAAUGAAAGUAAUAUAGAAGGGGCAAAGUGGCAUUUAUCAUCCCAUCUCUCCAGGCUCCUGUCUCUUUAAUCAGCUAGCCUGAUUUGCCCAGUAAAUGAUUCCUGAGUGAGAGUGUGUGUGUGUGUGUGUGUGUGUGUGUGUGUGUGUGUGUGUGCCAGCGCCCGUGUGUUGUAGCUCUGUCAAUCCUUGGAUUAGAACCAAUGAUUGCAGCUUGUAGGAGGGCUGUCCGGGGCCAGAUUGUACGAUGUGUCUCAGUGCCAGAGUAUGAGUAGAGAUAAUUACUGAGAAGUCACACUCUCUCACACCCUCGGCUUUCUUGUUGUGUCCUUCAGCAAAACAGUGGAUUUAAAUCUCCUUCCAACAGCUUGAGAGCAACGCAAUCUGUCAGGAAAGAAAGAAAGAAAAAACCGAACCUGACAAAAAAGAAGAAAAAGAAGAAGAAAAAAAAUCAUGAAAACCAUCCAGGCAAAAAUGCACAAUUCUAUCUCUUGGGCAAUCUUCACGGGGCUGGCUGCUCUGUUUCUCUUUCAAGUUUCAGUUCCCUGAGAUCAAUCUCCAUCCAGAAGCAAAAGAUCCUCUUCUGACAUGCUGUCGGAAGGUCAAUAAUAGCCUAAGGCUACGUCACAGGGCCCACGUCAUUCACCUCACUUCAUCUCAUCACAUGGAUAUUUUAUCAUCAAACAUCAUCACAGGAAGAAGGGUGAGUACAAUAUAAUAUUUUGAGAGAGGCCACAUUUCACAUAACUUUUAUUACAGUAUA
ensembl:lncRNA